GCCGGCUUAGCUCAGUUGGUAGAGCACCUGAUUUGUAAUCAGGGGGUCGCGGGUUCGAUCCCUGCAGCCGGCA
rfam:Sphingomonas sp. Root710 contig_1, whole genome shotgun sequence.